rnacentral:rRNA from 1 species
GACGAACGCUGGCGGCGUGCUUAAGACAUGCAAGUCGAACGGACGUAGCAAUACGUUAGUGGCGGACGGGUGAGUAACGCGUGGGCAAUCUGCCUUUAACUGGGGGAUAACCGCCGGAAACGGUGGCUAAUACCGCAUAUGACCACAACACGGCAUCGUGAAGGGGUGAAAGAUUUAUCGGUUAAAGAGGAGCCUGCGUAUCAUUAGUUAGUUGGUGGGGUAAAGGCUUACCAAGACUACGAUGAUUAACCGGCCUGAGAGGGUGAACGGUCACACUGGAACUGAGACACGGUCCAGACUCCUACGGGAGGCAGCAGUCGGGAAUAUUGGGCAAUGGAGGCAACUCUGACCCAGCAACGCCGCGUGAAUGAAGAAGGUUUUCGGAUUGUAAAGUUCUUUUAUACGGGAAGAAAAAAAUGACGGUACCGUAUGAAUAAGCCCCGGCUAACUACGUGCCAGCAGCCGCGGUAAUACGUAGGGGGCAAGCGUUGUCCGGAAUGACUGGGCGUAAAGGGUGUGUAGGCGGCUUUUUUAGUCGUAUGUGAAAUCCCCGGGCUCAACCCGGGAACUGCAUACGAUACUGGAAGGCUUGAGUGUGGGAGAGGAUUGUGGAAUUCCCGGUGUAGCGGUAGAAUGCGUAGAUAUCGGGAGGAACAUCAGAGGCGAAGGCGGCAAUCUGGACCAUAACUGACGCUGAGACACGAAAGCGUGGGGAGCAAACAGGAUUAGAUACCCUGGUAGUCCACGCCCUAAACGAUGAGUACUAGAUGUUGGCGGUAUCGACUCCGCCAGUAUCGUAGCUAACGCGUUAAGUACUCCGCCUGUGCAGUACGGCCGCAAGGUUGAAACACAAAGAAAUUGACGGGGACCCGCACAAGCAGCGGAGCAUGUGGUUUAAUUCGACGAUACGCGAAAAACCUUACCAGGACUUGACAUCCCUUGCAUAGCGUGGAAACACGUGAAAGUAUAGCAAUAUAUCAAGGUGACAGAUGGUGCAUGGUUGUCGUCAGCUCGUGUCGUGAGAUGUUCGGUUAAGUCCGUCAACGAGCGCAACCCUUGUUAUUAGUUGCCAGCAUUAAGUUGGGCACUCUAAUGAGACUGCCGUAGUUAAUACGGAGGAAGGUGGGGAUGACGUCAAAUCAUCAUGCCUCUUACGUUCUGGGCUACACACGUGCUACAAUGGUGACCACAAAGAGUUGCAAUAUGGUAACAUGGAGCCAAUCUCAAAAAAGUCAUCUCAAUUCGGAUUGUGGGCUGAAACUCGCCCACAUGAAGUCGGAGUUGCUAGUAAUCCCGAAUCAGCAUGUCGGGGUGAAUGCGUUCCCGGG